rnacentral:rRNA from 1 species
UACGUAGGGUGCAAGCGUUAAUCGGAAUUACUGGGCGUAAAGCGUGCGCAGGCGGUUGUGCAAGACAGAUGUGAAAUCCCCGGGCUCAACCUGGGAAUUGCAUUUGUGACUGCACGGCUAGAGUGUGUCAGAGGGGGGUAGAAUUCCACGUGUGAGCAGUGAAAUGCGUAGAUAUGAUGGAGGAACACCGAUGGCGAAGGCAGCCCCCUGGGUCAAAACUGACGCUCAUGCACGAAAGCGUGGGGAGCAAACAGG